rnacentral:rRNA from 1 species
GCCCCAGACUCCUACGGGAGGCAGCAGUGGGGGAUAUUGCACAAUGGGGGAAACCCUGAUGCAGCGACGCCGCGUGAGUGAAGAAGUAUUUCGGUAUGUAAAGCUCUAUCAGCAGGGAAGAAAAUGACAGUACCUGACCAAGAAGCCCCGGCUAACUACGUGCCAGCAGCCGCGGUAAUACGUAGGGGGCAAGCGUUAUCCGGAUUUACUGGGUGUAAAGGGAGCGUAGACGGUUAUGUAAGUCUGGAGUGAAAGCCCGGGGCUUAACCCCGGAACUGCUUUGGAAACUGUGCGGCUGGAGUGCAGGAGGGGUAAGCGGAAUUCCUAGUGUAGCGGUGAAAUGCGUAGAUAUUAGGAGGAACACCGGUGGCGAAGGCGGCUUACUGGACUGUAACUGACGUUGAGGCUCGAAAGCGUGGGGAGCAAACAGGAUUAGAUACCCCGGUA